ACAACGAAGAAAUCUGAUAGGAAGAUAAUCAACUAAUUUGAGAUGUGGUGUGAUGAAGAUACCAUGAACUGUUAAAGAGUUUCAUGUCAUGGAAUAUGGCAUUUGUGGUGGAACUGAACUCCAGAUAUACUCAACUUUAACUUUAUUCAAAAUGAAUUGCUAGCCUGCACACUUGCUUUGAAGAGAUGUUGGACUGAAUUUGAAUCACCUUUGCCUCAAGCCCACCAGGACUUUGGAUUUCACCAGGAUUCAGAUCUUCAGGCCACCACGCCACAACCAAUACAACUUUUCU